GUUUUAAUAAUUUAAAUAAAAUAUUGAUUUUGUAAAUCAAAAAUAAGCCUAAUCUUUUAAAACU
rnacentral:tRNA from 2 species